AGGUACCUCCCCAUCCAAGCCUGAGCUUUCUUAAGAUCCGGCCCAGGGAAGAAUGUGUAAGGAAACUGACCUGGCUUUCUCGGGAUUUCUUCUGGAAAAAAGGCUGUUACACGGUACGUUUUAGGAACAAUCUGUGCACGUAGAAGAAGGGAAACGGAAUCAGGAAACCACAGAAGGUGGCUGGUGGCUCCUGAGCUCGGCUUCCAUCUCCUGCAAACGUUUUAGGCGGAACUGCUUUUUUUUUUUUUCUUUUUAAGAACAGCACCUCCCCAGGUUUUGUUUUUCCUUUACCUCUGGACUUGCAGGUCUAGGAUUACAGACAAUUCUAACAGAAAGCUCAGACUUCCCAGAAGCCCCCUCUCCUACUCACACCCUACAUUUUCCCCUGUGGUGCAGGGGGUCUGGGUGAGGGUGGGGUCUGGGCAUCCCCAAGGGUGAAGUACAGGCCGUACCACCAAGCUGGGGACAGUACAGGUCAGCAGUGACUAUUAAAAUGAGCUGUCUUUCAGGGCCCUGGCAAGGUUGAAAAUCACCUUUGGGUGACAUACCCAAGGCCUCAUCAAAACAGUUUGAUGCCCUCCAACCCCUGCCUCCAUCUUCUCAUCUCUUGUUUAGAGGGCAGAGAGAGGGCUCAGAGUUUAAGAGCUCGGGCUGUGCUUCCAGUUCCAAUUCUGAGAACUGACAUGGCAGGUCCCAAACACACACACACACACACACACACACACACAUUCACAUGCACACGCACAGGGCAUGCACACACUAAAUACACUCCUGAGCUUGCCUGUGCACAUAUGCACACAAAUACACAAACAAGUGUAUACUCACAUGUGCACACCCGAGCAUUAACCAGGAUGUACUUCGAUGAGGAAAUAAAGAGUCUGGCCUUCUGCAAGAGCAGGAUUGGCCUUUAUGCAUCUCCAGGAAGGAAGCCAUUGCUAGUGGAGACUGCUCACCGGGCACAGGGAGCUCCAGGGGAUUAGGGUGGAAAUGGGACCUUUGGGGGUCUGCAGACCUAGUCCUGCUUCCCCAAGCUGGUGGAUUUUGGUGGGGUGCUUACCCCGUUGGCCUCCCUGAUCCUCACUGCACACUGACAUCAGCACCAUAUCUCCUCCUGCAGGGAGUCACUCAGACUGCCUGGGGCUUCUAGGUCAUUAGCCCUUCACAUGCAGGAAAACAGGGAAGAAAAACAGCAUUGUGGGUGGCCCUAGCAGUUCAGCAGGCAGAGGCUGAUGCAGGAGGAUGGAUAGUGGAGGCUGGUCCAUCCUGGGCUACACUACAGCUGGAUUCACUCCAGAGUGUGAGGGGGAAAAAACCCUAAAACAGAUGAAGAAAUGAAUGG
rnacentral:lncRNA from 1 species